AGCAAACUCAGAACGAUGCCACUUUUCACACCUCUGUUCUCCAUCCCUAGAAUGUCACAUGGGCCACCUGGGGAACUAUACGGUAGAAAGGCGUUGGGUUUUUUUUCCUGUAGUAGAAAGAAAACUGCUUCCCAAGUAGAAGGUAUUACAGCAUUUUCCCAAUGAAGGAUGAAGCAGCAGUGAGGUGAGGUGGUGAGUCAGGUGAGAGGAAACUGAUCUAUAAAAAAUACUUUUAUUUUCCUCUUUGCUUCCCUUAAUAAAUUAAAGGACAAGUUCUUGUUGCAUGAUAUUUCAGAAAUAAUAUAAAACACAUGUCUUUCUGCCUUUACUCCUCUAGCCCUUGCUUCUCAGGGGUAGAUGAAGGGGGAGUUCUUGGGAUCGAGGUGCUGGCACCAGGAAGAUAAACUCGAAGCCCCUCCCUCUCUCCACCGCUGAGCAGGUCAAAAAAUGAUUGCAUUGGCCGUGAAGGAUUUAUGUCUGCCCGUGAGUCAGUCAGAGUGUCGGGGUAAAUCAAGGCUGACAUUUUUAGCAUCCUGGAAAAAAAAGCAAUUGCAUUUUAUGUCUACAUUUUGCUCGGCUAAUCAAGGUGCGGAAGAGACGAUCUGCCUGGGGAAACUUUUCCACUUUUUAUUAGCGAGGUAGGGUUUGGUGUGCCCCGUAGAAACGUGGAGCAAGUCCAUAAAGCCCUCAGUUUAGAGUUAAGAGAGGAAAAGGCUCUCCCUGUCAGAUGUGAUUUGGAGAGAGAGCUGGCAAAAUGUUUGGAAGGCUGAGGAAGGGGUUCUGGGCUGGCUGGGGGCAUCAUCUGAGCAAUCUUAGCGCAAGGGAAUGGACAGUCAUCUCUGCAAAGGGUUUCUUCUCUCCAGGCAUCUCCAGCAGGACCUAUGUUUUAUCAUAGCACCAUUAGGGAAAAACUAGUUUGAGGCUUUUGACUAAAUUGGCCAGCUGCUAAUUGACCACUAAUCAGUCCUUUAGCUGAAGCAACCAGCAAAAUAACUAAGCAGAUCAGUUGAAACCAUCGAAGCAGUUGAUAUAUGUUGACAUAGGUCAAGAUCAAGCCACAGUUAAUGUGUAGCGAGGGGAAGAGAAAAAUGAACAAAUUCGCUACUAAUAUUUCUCUUUAGCUUUUCAUUUCCAAGGCUAAUUAUUGGUUUAUUUAAGUGCUUUGCCUUGGUAAAAGAGAAUGUAUUUGGAUUUCAAAAGUCUUCUAUUUUGCACCAGGGACUAGAUUCAGCAAAUGUACUUUCAUAUGUAAACGGAUAGGGAUGAUGAUUGCUUUUUUGAGAGGGAGGGGAUUUCUCAUUGAAUCUCCAACAUCUUGGGAGAUAGUUUUACAGAAGGGGAAACUGAAGCUUAGAGCAAUUGACUAAUAUACUCCAGGUUAUAUCUGGCUGCUCUUAGCUGGUAAGAGCUAAAAAGUUCUUUGAACAGAGGCAGUUUUGCCUUCACAGCCUUCAUCCUUAUGUGCAUGCUGUUUCAGAUUUGAUCUCAGCAGAAAUGUGCAGUCAUUCUAACUAUGUUGGGACCUAGAGGUUCGAUGAAAACACAUUUUAUAAGUGACUAAAUUUUCCUUUUCAUGGCCCUGAAAAAGCCUGGGAACCAGCCACAGGUCCUGAACGUGUGAAAUGAUGAUGAUAAUAGCUAAAAUGCAUUGCUUACCUGUCAUGUGCCAGAUACUGUUUUAAGCUCCAUGAAUGUAUCUACUUACAGAAGCCCCCCAUAGUCCUAAAAAGUGAGCCUAUUAUGAUCUCGUGCUCUGGAUGAAGAGACGGAGGGCCCAAGAAAUUCAGAAACUUUCUGCUUCAUUUGAUGAAGUGAUAGCUAUGGAGUUCCUGUUAUGGCUCAGGGGGUUAAGAACCUGACAUAAUGUCUGUGAGGAUGAGGGUUUGAGCCCUGGCCUGGCUCACUGGGUUAGGGAUACAGUGUUGCCACAAGCUGUGGUGUAGGUGGCAGAUGUGGUUUGGAGCUGGCGCAGCUGUGGCUGUGGUGUAGGCCAGCAGCUGCAGCUCUCAGUUGACCCCUAGCCUGGGAACCUCCAUAUGCUGUGGGUUUGGCUAUAAAAAGAAAAAAAAAAACAUGUUUUAAGUAACCACUGUUGGCAGUGGUUAGUUCAGUCCUUCUUCUCAUGCGUGUGUGUUUGCAAAUUGCUCUGUGAUUUCUGAUUUAAGAGACUUCAGAGUUUUCUUAUAAAAAAAUAAGAUUCUUCAUCUAUUAGCACAUAUUUACUUUAAAAAGAAAGGGUCAAUAAAACUG
rnacentral:lncRNA from 1 species